rnacentral:snRNA from 1 species
GUUUGGCUGGGGCGGCAC